GACUUUGUGGUUAGUCGGAUGAAUGGAGUUUGUCUUCGGACAGAUCCAAGUUGCUUUAGCAAACUUCCACUCGGUUGUCGCUUCGUGUGGUGGAUCAUCGUCUUAUCUUUUUGUAGAAUGUGUGGCGGCACCGUCCCAUCGCAAAUCAUAUGGCAAUAAAUACCGUGGAGCUCGAGAUGAUCUUUCAUAUUAAUGAUGGGAGAUCGGCU
rnacentral:lncRNA from 1 species